AGAUAUUCAUGGAUAAAUAAAUAAUUUUUGAAAAGAACACAAAAUUCGCGAUAUUUUUAUAACACACCUCGUACUAAAGGUGAAGGCACAAUAGUGUAUUUAAAUACAGUAUGACAACUAUUUGAUCACUUACCAUUUCCUUUGUUAAAAUAAACUUUUCAAUAAAAAAAGGCAAGUUUACUUAGUAGAAUUUGUGAAAUAGAGAGUUAUUAGUGAACAUAAUAUUGCUCAGCUUUUCAAGUUUUUCUUUUUAUUUUGUAAUUAAUAGUGGUGAAGUCCUUAGAAUCAAGUUUUUAGUAAAAGCUCAGUUUUUCUACAUUUUUCUUGGUUAUUUUAUUAAGCUUCAGCAUAGAUGAAAAAACUAAAUGCUACGAAAAUAGAAGUAAUCAAAAGCCUUUUUGAUUUAAACACAAAACACAGAAAAGUUCCAAGAAUUGUUGGAGCUUCUGUGGCUGUGGUUUUAAAAUUGUUGUUUACACAAAAAAAGCAAGCCUGAACGAAUGCCAAUUUUGAACGCCAGACUGGAAAGAUCAGUGUUCGAUUCUGUAACUUUUUCCACACGAUUUGACGGAUCGCGUUUCUGCUUUGAAAAAUUAUUCUAGAAUGCCUACGAAAACAAGAAACCGAGCCUCGAUGGAGCAACUAAUUCGGAUGAUGGAUUUUUUCACAGAAACCACGGGUUUGGCAGGGUCUCGGUUCCAGAAGCGUCAUGGAAUAUCGGACGGCAAUUGGAAGUGGAGCAAAUUAGCUAGUACGCUAAAUAGCCUUGGCGUAGCUUUGAAAAGCGUCGACCAAUGGCACACGAUAUGCAAAUAUUUUUAAGCAAUUUGGCAGUAUGUUAAAAUUAUAUUUUACAAAAAGGUAUGGAGCGAUUUGAAAAGCCGUACAAGCAUCAAGGUCCGAUGCCGGAAAAGAAAGCGCGCAAUUACAGGAAACACUCCCAUGAUGAGGAGCCACUCACCGAAUUAGGGACAGGCCAUUGCCCUUGUAGGUAAUGACUAUGUCCACUGCCACGAAAUCGUUCCUGAAACUGUGCCUGUAGAGGAGGAACCGCAACGGUAAUUAGAGGAGGGUGAAGAAAGUCUAAUUGUCGAGAUUCCUUCAUUUUCAAAUGGGGUCGAUUUUUAGAUGCAUGCAUCGACUCCUGCGACUCAAACUACAAAAAUUCCACGAAGAAGCAGUAAGAGAAGACUUGUGGAAGAUGUGAACGAUACGCGAAACUUUUACAAAUUGCGCAAACAGAGCGGAUGCCUUAAAAUUUCGUUUUUUUCCAAAAGACGUUAGCAGAGUCGAGUGCAGCGUCCACCCAAGUUGCAUGCAGGCAAACUGAUGCCUUACAGUUUUUAGCUGGAAGUAAUGCGGCGACCACGCAGGCAUUAACAGAGGCUAUGUCCACAAUGCGUGAGAGAUUACAAGCUUGUGCAGCGGACUUCAACAAUUUAGCAGGGGCAAUUAGCCGUAUGUAAAUAUGGAUGUAAAUAAA